UGGGUUUGACAUGCACCAGACGCACUCAGAGAUGGGUGUUCCCUUGUGGUUGGUGUGCAGGUGGUGCAUGGCUGUCGUCAGCUCGUGUCGUGAGAUGUUGGGUUAAGUCCCGCAACGAGCGCAACCCUUGUUCCAUGUUGCCAGCACGUAAUGGUGGGGACUCAUGGGAGACUGCCGGGGUCAACUCGGAGGAAGGUGGGGAUGACGUCAAGUCAUCAUGCCCCUUAUCG
rnacentral:rRNA from 1 species